GGAUGAGUGAGGAGAGUUUUGUUCUUAAAACUGAGCAUUUCUAAGAGCCACUUAAAGUGGAGCACACAUUGGAUUUUUUUCCCUGUUGUCACAGGCUACCUUGUCCUGAAGGCUGUUCCAUUUUGAAGAAUGGAGUUCAGUAAUUGCCCCCUGACAGACCUCCCUGUCAACUCUUCAGGAUAUCGGUGCUGGAUUGUUUGCUGGGAAAACACCUAAAGUCAACACAGGGAGGUGGAAUGGUUCCCAGUAUGGAUUUUUACCCUAGUGGAGCUUGUACUUCUCUUGACAGAAAUCAAAGACUGCAAGUGCAUCCUGCCUAGACUGCUCAUAUGACUAGUGACAAGCUGAUGCUAAAGUGACUGCAGUGUUAGCUACUGAAAGCCUCAGGCAAUGUACAGCAGGGGAUUGCGGUUAAGGAGUAGCACUGAAACCCUUCUGGCUGAACAGCUCGGGGGCCUGGCCAUGUCCCUGGCACCUGGAUGGAGCUGCUCUGAUCCCCGGGGACAGCCCUGACCCUAUGCUGGCGGAUGAGCUGCUGAGCCCUGGUGUGUUCUGGUGGGUCGCAGUUUUCCAGGAGGGAGCACAGCCAGGCACAGCACUGCUAAUUGCAGGGACGGGUCUGUCAUCAGGACACAGUCCGAUGAGCUGCUGCAGUCAAGUAAAUCUGUGUAUCGCCUCGCAGCGGAGGGGCGUUGCAGAUGCAUAGGAUUUAAGAGCUCUCACCUCC
rnacentral:lncRNA from 1 species